rnacentral:rRNA from 1 species
UACGGAGGGGGCAAGCGUUGUUCGGAAUUACUGGGCGUAAAGGGCGCGCAGGCGGCUGCUCAAGUCAGGCGUGAAAGGCCUGGGCUCAACCCGGGAAUUGCGCUUGAGACUGGGCUGGCUUGGGUGCGGGAGAGGAUGGUGGAAUUCCCAGUGUAGAGGUGAAAUUCGUAGAUAUCAGGAGGAACACCGGUGGCGAAGGCGGGUCUCUGGGCCCUACCUGACGCUGAGACGCGAAAGCGUGGGGAGCGAACCGG